GGCCGGGCAAGACCGGUGCCAGCCGCCGCGGUAAUACCGGCGGCUCGAGUGGUGGCCGAUAUUAUUGAGUCUAAAGGGUCCGUAGCCGGCUUUGCAAGUCCCUUGGGAAAUCCAGCGGCUUAACCGUUGGGCUUCCGGGGGAUACUACAUUGCUUGGGACUGGGAGAGGUAGGAGGUACUCAGGGGGUAGG
rnacentral:rRNA from 1 species